rnacentral:rRNA from 1 species
AUUGAACGCUGGCGGCAUGCCUAACACAUGCAAGUCGAACGAGUGGCGGACGGGUGAGUAAUGUCUGGGAAACUGCCUGAUGGAGGGGGAUAACUACUGGAAACGGUCGCUAAUACCGCAUACCAUCGGAUGUGCCCAGAUGGGAUUAGCUAGUGUGUGGGGUAAAGGCUCACCGAGGCGACGAUCCCUAGCUGGUCUGAGAGGAGGACCAGCAAAACUGGAACGGAGACACGGUCCAGACCCCGACGGAAGGAAGCGGUGGGGAAUAUUGCACAAGGAGCACAAGCCUAAGACAGACAUGCCGCGUGUAUGAAGAAGGCCUUCGGGUUGUAAAGUACUUUCAGCGGGGAGGCGUUACCCGAAGAAGAAGCACCGGCUAACUCCGUGCCAGCAGCCGCGGUAAUAC